GAGAAAGAGCGUCAAUUAACAGAUGUUUCUUGCAUUGAAGGUUGGCAAUAAUAAACUCUAGCGAUUCUCCCUGCCUAUCUAAUUUAUUAGUUUUGAAUAUGACCUCGAACAAGUCGCUACAUU